rnacentral:misc_RNA from 1 species
CCUGUGCUGCUUCUCCUUCUCGCGUCUUCGGCACCACCACGACGUGCCCGCGAUGUGCCGCUUCCGCGACCAUCUCACGCCGCCGCAACCACCCCACUGCCGUCUCUGGUUCUCUGGCCACCGGGAAGCAUUCAGUGCCGCCGCGAGCAACUAGAUCCGCUCCACCACACCCAUCCGCUAGCGUCGCUGUGUUCCCACGGCACCAGGAACAAUCCCGCACCGUCGUGGCUGUCAUCCCGCACCGCCACAAACAACACACAACCUCUGUAUUCCAUCGCCCACGUUUAGCCAUGAAUAUACCUCCGCGUCCUAGUUCAUCGGUGAGUGAAGAAAUUGGCAUGUUCAACACGACAUCCACAGAGAUUGGUCUUGUUUCUCCUUUUGCUCCAGGAAGACAGGAUAUGCCCAUGCUAAUUCAAUCAGCAGGGAGGAAGACCUCACAUGUGAGCUGAUGGUUGCAAUUUAUCAUAAUUUUUUCCUUAUUGUUUUCAAUUAGCAGAGUGAUUGUACGCCCUGGUUGUAUAAUUGUAGGAGUUUUGUGCGGCACAAUAAUGGUUCAUGUUCAGAAGUGCCUAUAGAUUCAUUUCGUUGUUUGGCUAAAUUAGUUUCACUGUAAAAUUUGUACUGAGAAGUGCCAACCUUUAAAUUGCAUCCUUUUAUUAGAGAAGCAAA